ensembl:lncRNA
CCAAAUUGUUUUUCGAGUUGAAUGCUGUUAUAUGGUAUAAAACCAUUGUUUUUCAGGUUUGAUUCAGGCUGGAUUUUUCUCUGGUGACAGUUAUGUUGGGACAGUGCUGCUGACCCUAUUUGCAGCUUGAUUAGAGUGCGAUUGGGAGGAGCGACAAUAAUCCAACAACAAAAGACUGCAAAUGAUGCUUCCAUGCAUGCCUGUACCAAAAGAGGCACAGAAAAGCUAUUAUAGAAUCAGCACAGAACCAGCCAUGGAGAAAUCAACACCUAACGCUGAUCUUUUUAUUUAGGUGGAGUUUUUGACAGUGUGUAAUGACAGAACACUAUAGGAAAAGGACACAGCAGAUGACCAAGUACAACUGACUCUAAAGGUCACUUUGUGGUUUAAAGAAGACUCACAGUAUUUGAUAGUAGACUGUAGAAGGUGGGUGACUGAUCCAUGCAGACCCAGGGGUGAUGGCAGUGUCUGACCUGCUGACUGUAGUGCUGUGGGGGUUGGUUGUUGUUCAGGGUGAGCAGCUGAAACAGGCCCACACUCCUCUACUGCCCCAUCGGCCGUUUGUGGUGGUGUGGAACGCACCCACUGAAUCGUGCCGUCUGCGUUUUAAGGUGGACCUGGAUUUAAGUGUAUUUGACAUUGUUGCUAACCAAAAUGAAACACUGAGCGGCCCAAAUGUCACCAUCUUCUACCACAGUCACCUGGGCUACUACCCUUAUUACACCAGCACUGGAGUUCCUAUCAAUGGAGGCCUGCCUCAGAACCAGAGCCUCAGCAAGCACCUCAACAAAGCCAGAGCUGACAUCGACAAGCUCAUCCCGUUCAAAGACUUCCGAGGACUUGCUGUGAUUGACUGGGAGAACUGGCGUCCUCAGUGGGUGCGCAACUGGGGCUCCAAGGACAUCUACCGGAACAAAUCCAAGGAGCUCAUAAGAAAGGCUCAUCCUCGCUGGCCUCAAAGCAAAGUGGAGAAUGAAGCCAAGGAGACUUUUGAGAGAGCAGGACAGGCUUUCAUGAACUUCACUCUACAGCUUGCAAAGAGUCGCCGGCCACAUGGCCUGUGGGGCUUUUACCUGUUUCCAGACUGCUACAACUACGGCUACAAGCAGCACCCACACCGAUACACGGGAGAGUGCCCCAAUGUGGAGCAUGUGCGUAACGACCAUCUCAUGUGGCUUUGGAAGGAAAGCACAGCGCUCUAUCCAUCCAUAUACCUGGACUAUGAGCUGAAGUCUUCACCCAACACUGUGAAGUUUGUGCACUAUAGGGUCAAGGAGGCAAUGCGGAUCGCCUCGAUCGCCCGGAAUGACUUCACUCUGCCUGUGUUCGUGUACUCCAGACCCUUUUAUGCCUACACAUUCACUGUGCUGUCUGAGAGUGACCUGGUCCACACCAUAGGAGAGAGUGCAGCACUGGGUGCAGAUGGAGUGGUCCUGUGGGGUUCUUCAGAGUAUGCUCGAUCUCAGAGAAACUGUCUGACAGUGAAAAAAUAUAUCGAUGGCCCACUCGGCCAUUACGUCAUCAACGUUACUUCUGCAGCUAAGCUGUGCAGCAAGGCUCUGUGCAAGAAGAAUGGUAAAUGUGUUCGCAAGAGCAUGGACUCUAAAGCUUACCUGCAUUUAAACCCCCGUUUCUUUAACAUCCACCUCAACCGAGCCGCCCGCGGCCCUCGUUUCCAUGUGAGCGGACACCUCAACUACCACGAUAUACUGGACAUGAAGCACAAAUUCACCUGCCAGUGUUACCAGGGCUGGACGGGUAUCUACUGUGAAAUACCUCAGCUCAUCCACCCACUGCCUCCCAGAUCAAACGACAGUUUCCUGCCUGAGCUGCUGCUCGUGCUGUCCCUUUAUUUCUCCUGUCUGUCCGUCAUCAUUUUUCUUGGACUGUGUCUCAUUAUUAAGUGUCUCAUCUUAUAAACAGUGUUGUUGAAAAGGUUGUGGACACAUGUUGAGACAAAGUGCUUGGACAUCCAGGCUAGAGCACACUGACAGGGCGAACGUUGACAAGCAUGAAGCAUUUGAAAAAAAUCUUAAAUGUUUUCUGUUCCUUUAAUUUAGUUCAUUUGACUUGAAAGUUCAUUUUCUACCAGUAUUGGUGAAUCACUGUAGCCUUUAUUUAAUAGAACUGUAACAGGAAGUCUGUUUAUGUAGUUAUUCUACAUAUGGAAACAUAACAAAAAAAUAGUUGUUUACUUGGAGCAUGGUCACUCUUCAUAUCUAGAGUUAUACUAAAUUGCCUGAAAGAAGACAAACAAAAUGCAGCCUGGGGAACUCUGAACAGCCACUGUGAGAAUGCACCAAACUGUAAUGACAAAGUUGGUUGACCAAGAUGGCUCAGACUUGGUUAAGGCUCCAAAACACUGUCUUCCUACAGUUGUGCCUAUAAACUUUGAAGGCUAAAACAAUAUCUCUCCAUCUUGAGCUUUUUUCAUCUUAAUGAAUCACUCACAUAAUGUGACAGUUAUCCCAACUCAUACAUGUACAGCUCUGGAAAAAAGAGACCAUCUCAGUUUCUGAAUAAGUUUCUCUAAUUUUGCUAUUUAAAUGUAUAUGUUUGAGUAAAUUGUUGUUUAUUCUAUAAACUACAGACAACAUUUCUCCCAAAUUCCAAAUAAAAAUAUUGUAAUUUAGAGCA